UGAAUGAGUAUAAAGCCUUUCAGGCAGCUUUUAGUGACACACUUGAAGAAAUUUAUUGUUUCGUUGAGCAUUAUUACAGAUCAGCAUUGUCAAGAACCAAUGGUGUUCCCUGAAGAAAGAAUACAACAUGGGACACAGGACUCUCAGAAAGAAAAAUACUGACUCUGCAAAACCAAAUACAUCUGGAAUCCGAAUCCUCUUGCAAAACUCUGAGCAGUGAUAUCCAACCUUUCUGGCACCCAGAGACCACCGGACCUCCUUUUCUACAAUCAAGCCAAACCAGUUCCUGUUGUUGGUGCCAAGAUAGACUACAGCUGGAAAUUCCCCAAAUGACCAACAGAUCACCUGGUGCCAACUGACUGACCACCAGGAAGAGCGACUAUUGACUUUGGGCUUAAAAGUCAUCUAAUCCACACUGUUUCUCACUCCCCUGACUACCCUCCUCUGCCCUGAGGUUUUUUUGCCUUUAUAAUCUCCUAUUCACUGACCCUGCCUGAGAGCAUGAUUUCUUUUUACACCAGGGGCUGCAUCUCCCCAAUCUGCAAAUUGUUUCUUAUGGAAAAUGAAGCUUUCUCUUUUCCUUC
rnacentral:lncRNA from 1 species